UUCGACCUCAAAUCAGGUAGGACUACCCGCUGAACUUAAGCAUAUCAAUAAGCGGAGGAAGCAGCAACCAUACAGGGAUUGCCUUAGUACGCGGCGAGUGAAGCUGGCAAAAGUCUCAAAUUUGAAAUCUGGCACUUUCAGUGUCGCGAGUUGUAAUAUUGAAGAAGGUAUCUUUGGGUCUGG
rnacentral:rRNA from 1 species